GCGGGCAUAGUUUAGUGGCAAAAUAACAGUUUUCCAAACUGUGGUUGGGAGUUCGAUUCUCCCUGCCCGCA
rfam:Candidatus Taylorbacteria bacterium RIFCSPLOWO2_02_FTLL_46_40 rifcsplowo2_02_scaffold_2063, whole genome shotgun sequence.